rnacentral:rRNA from 1 species
UACGGGGGGGGCAAGCGUUGUUCGGAAUUACUGGGCGUAAAGGGCGCGUAGGCGGCCUUCUAAGUCGGACGUGAAAUCCCUCGGCUCAACCGAGGAACUGCGUCUGAUACUGGAAGGCUUGAAUCCGGGAGAGGGAUGUGGAAUUCCAGGUGUAGCGGUGAAAUGCGUAGAUAUCAGGAGGAAUACCUAUGGCGAAAGCAGGUAUCUGGGCCAUCACUGACGCUGAGCUGCGAAAGCUAGGGGAGCAAACAGG